GGAGCGCACAGCCUAAUCUGAAUUCCCCAGAUAAGCCUCCACAGCUCAGGCGGCAGAGCGGGGAAUCAAACCCAGUUCCUCCAGAUUAGAUACACACGCUCUUAACCUCCUACACCACUGCUGCAAAGCUCACAGGUGCCGCUCGACUAACAGGCUGGCCCGGCCUCUGUUUGCUCUGUUUUUACGAGAGGGCAGCUGCUUUUAUUCUUUCUGCCUGCUUGACCCACAGCAAACAAAGGGGCAUGGAAAUGGAGCGCAUGGAGGAUCUGUAGGGAAGCUACAGCGUAGAGGAGCGUAGAGGACCGUUCUGAAAGAGCCGAGCCGAUCAUACAGAGAUGUUUGUUCUCCCCACAUUCUCUCCAUCUUCCACCAACAGAAUGAAAUCACACUUCGAAUGCAGAAUUCGCACGGCUCGCUAGAACACCGUGGUGGCGAACCUGUGACGCCCCAGGUGUUCAUGGGCUACAAUUCCCAUCAACCCCUGCCAGCAUGGCCAAUUGGGGCUGAUGAGCAUUGUAGUCCAUGAACAUCUGUAGUGCCAUAGGUUCGCCACCACAGCUAUAACAGGAUAGCAAGUGGGAGGUGGAGUAUAAUAGGGGGCAGUUGGUUGACGUGUUUGGAAAUGCUCCGCUUGGUCAUUCUGGGAAUUUCCAGGUGUGGUUUUCCUUUGGUUUCUCUUAGGAUUUUUUUAAAAAGAGACUUUAACAAAAUUUCCAGGAACAGGUAAAGGUGGGAUUUGUAGUGUCGACGCCAACUUUUGCAGCAGGCUGAGAAAAGCCGGUCUUUGGGGCAACGGAACUCUGGUGAUGGUGGUGAGCGUUUUGCAUCGAGGAAUCUCAGAUAAGGUUGCCCAGUUGCUGUUCUUUUAAGAUCUUUGUUCUGAAAGGAAAGAUGUCCUCCUGUGUUCUGCAACUCCUGAUGCAUCUUGAUUUGGAAAGGAACAGGCCAAGGGGGUACUUGAGCCCUCCCCUCCAUGAUAUUGACCCCCCAGUAUUUCCUUCUGAGUGCGUGUACCGGAUCUCGGGUGGCCUGGAACGACUCCAUGCAUUUGGGGAAGCCAAAUCCCGAGCAGUCUGUGGAGCUCUCCCAUGUGGCGGUAGCUUACGGUUGCAUCUGUGCAGGAGUUGUGGUGUGUUGAAUCUGUGCGGAGAGAAUUGGGGGUAAGUUUUUUUUUUUUACGGAUAUUUGGGCCCUGGGGAGAGGGAAUUCACCUGCCAUUAGGAAAUGACAGGUUUAUCCAGCCGGCUAAGAGAUGUCUCAUUUGGGGGCAUAAGACACAUUUAAACUUUUAUUUUCAUCUUUCAACGUUCCUGACAUGAGCGGCUGAACCGUGAACAUAAUUAUCCAUGUUUUAUAAUACUGUUUUAGGUGUAUUAAUUAGAGCCAAUGAAACUCUGACGCUAAAUGAUAUAGCAGGUCAUCAUUUACUUUAUUCUAGUUUGGCGGGGUGGAGGUAGAUAUGAAAGUGUUGGGUUGGGAGGAGGAAUUAUUUUUUUCCAAAUACCCAAUGGGCCUUGUGCACAUGCCUGUGAGUGUAAAAUUAUAGGGGUGGGGAAGGAAGAAAAUGGACUAUUCAAAUGAUGUAAUCUUGGCUGUGUGUAGCAGCUUCUCUUUCAGAUAGUCAGCUAAUACACACACACACACACGUCAUUUUUGAUUGGGGGGAGACAGUGUUUUGCUUUUCUGUAUCUUUGAAUUGUGUAACAUCCUGUUCUUUACAGGUUGCAGACCCCUGCCCCAAACCAUAACAACUAGUGGAAUGACUUUACUGAUAUAUGCAAAUCCUACCAUUUGAGCUACAGGUUUUCGGGGCGGGGGGUGGGGGCGGGGGGAGCACAGGAACGCUGGAGCAUAGAAGCUUAAUUUAUUGUGGCUUUCUCUCUUGGCAACAAAAACAAAACCCAGAACCCUGAAGGUGGCUUUGUAAGCGUGUGUUUUUUUCCCUUCUUUUUGCAAACUUCAAGAACAUGACGAUGAUGUGAAGAAAAAAAAAGCGCGAUUCUGUGUACAUUCUUUUUCAAUCUCUUUAUUUUUGUUUGUUUGUUUCCUUUAUUUUUUCUGUGAAAGCUUUUGGUCUUUGUAACUUUGCGUUAUUUGUAAAUGAAAAAUGUAAUAAAGUUCAACUGUUUUUCUCUCUG